rnacentral:rRNA from 1 species
GUCGAGCGGACAGAUGGGAGCUUGCUCCCUGAAGUCAGCGGCGGACGGGUGAGUAACACGUGGGCAACCUGCCUGUAAGACUGGGAUAACUCCGGGAAACCGGGGCUAAUACCGGAUAAUUCUUUCCCUCACAUGAGGGAAAGCUGAAAGAUGGUUUCGGCUAUCACUUACAGAUGGGCCCGCGGCGCAUUAGCUAGUUGGUGAGGUAACGGCUCACCAAGGGAGCGAUGCGUAGCCGACCUGAGAGGGUGAUCGGCCACACUGGGACUGAGACACGGCCCAGACUCCUACGGGAGGCAGCAGUAGGGAAUCUUCCGCAAUGGACGAAAGUCUGACGGAGCAACGCCGCGUGAGUGAUGAAGGUUUUCGGAUCGUAAAACUCUGUUGUUAGGGAAGAACAAGUACCGGAGUAACUGCCGGUACCUUGACGGUACCUAACCAGAAAGCCACGGCUAACUACGUGCCAGCAGCCGCGGUAAUACGUAGGUGGCAAGCGUUGUCCGGAAUUAUUGGGCGUAAAGCGCGCGCAGGCGGUUCCUUAAGUCUGAUGUGAAAGCCCCCGGCUCAACCGGGGAGGGUCAUUGGAAACUGGGGAACUUGAGUGCAGAAGAGAAGAGUGGAAUUCCACGUGUAGCGGUGAAAUGCGUAGAGAUGUGGAGGAACACCAGUGGCGAAGGCGACUCUUUGGUCUGUAACUGACGCUGAGGCGC